rnacentral:rRNA from 1 species
CACCGGCAGCUCAAGUGGUGGCCAUUUUUAUUGGGCCUAAAGCGUUCGUAGCCGGCUUGAUAAGUCUUUGGUGAAAUCCUAUAGCUUAACUGUGGGAAUUGCUGGAGAUACUAUUAGGCUUGAGGCCGGGAGAGGUUAGGGGUACUCCCAGGGUAGGGGUGAAAUCCUAUAAUCCUGGGAGGACCACCUGUGGCGAAGGCGCCUAACUGGAACGGACCUGACGGUGAGUAACGAAAGCCAGGGGC